AUGACUGAUUCGUUGGCUGCGGAAUAUGAGUCCGAUAAAACGGCCUGUGGGAUAAUGCUCAGGGUGGAACAAGAUUUUGGAGAAGUUUCCCUUGUGAAGGUGCUUAGCCUUGUGAAUAAAUUUCUGACAUCAAAGAUGGGUGAUAAAACAGUCAAUGAACACUUCAACAAGAUCUUUGUCUUGGUGGAAGAGUUAAAAAUGGUUGGUUAUCCGUUCCAGGAGGAAGUCCAAGUCAUGGUUGUCCUGAACUCUUUACCACCAUCAUGGGAACAAUUCAAGAUUUCUUUUUGUCAUUCAGAGCGCACACUCAAUAUGAGGAACCUGAGGUAA
rnacentral:rRNA from 1 species